AGGUGGAGUCUCCUCUGUCGCCUGGAGUGCAGUGGUGCCAUCAUAACUUACUGCAGCCACAACCUCCCUGGCUCAAUUAAUCCUCCCACCUCAGCCUCCCAAACAGCUGGGACUACAGGUGUGUGCAUCACACCUAGCAAUUUUUUUUAAUUUUUUUGUAGAGGAAAGGUUUUGCCAUAUUGCCCCGGCUGGUCUUGAACUCCUGGGCUCAAGUAAUCUGCCCACAUUGGCUUCCCAAAGGGCUGGGAUUAGAGCUGUGAGCCACCAGGCCCAGUGCACAUGAACAUAGGAAGUUUCUAACAAUAGAAUAUGUUACAAGUGUGGAUCUUUGUUAGAAGUGUUGUUUAACAAUUAGAUUACUGUCAUAAUUGUCAUCUCCACUAGGUGGCAUUCUCCUUUCUACUUUGGUUUUUUGUUGUUUUUUUGUUUUGUUUUGUUUUUGAGUAGGAGUUUCGCUCUUGUUGCAGUGAGCUGUGAUCUUGUCACUGCACUCCAGCCUGGGUGACAGACUGAAACCUUGUCUCAAACAAACAAACCUAUUACAUAUUAACAUAAAUAACAUUUUUAGAAAAAAUAAGUAUUUCCAAAAAAAUGUUAAUGCAAAGAGUGGCACUGUGUCACCACUUUACAAAUCUCUUUAAUGUCUGGCUUAAUAGAAUAUGGCUGGGUACAUAUAACUGCUUUUGCAUUCAGGUAAUUAUAGGUAUUCUUCUUUGAUACUUCAUCAAAACUCAACAGGUGAUAGUUUCCUUGAAAGGUUAGUUACAUCAUGGAAUGCAAAGCCUUACCAGUGAACUCUGCAUUCUGCUUCCCUAAAAUCCACUGGUCUGUCUUGCCCUUUGAAUGGAUCUUUUACCCAUACAUGAUUUGAUAUCGUCAGGCUCUGGUGAUUUGAAAAUUGCUGAUGUACUGAGUUACACAGAUCUAAAUGUUGACACAUUUUGUUCUGUCGUAUCAAAAAAGUAGUAUUUAUUAGUGACAUCACUAAUCUCAUCAGAAAAUCAUUAAAUGUUAGAAACCUUUUAGCAAGCCCACAAUAAGGAGCAAUACAUUUUUUAAGAUAAUGUGUUUCUAAUAAUUUUUGUUUGAAAGCAUGAAUUUAUCAUUUUCAAUAUGUGCUAUCAGAGCUUUCCUUGAAGUAACAGGCUUUGGUCUUGAGAAAAUGUCUGCCAAAUACCCAAGUCCAGAUAACUAGUUUGUCAUUAUUUCAAAUAAAAAUGGUGUUUCCUGAAGAAAACUGUCAGUUCAACUGGUGACUCAAAUAAUCACAAACGGUAGUCCAUCCUUUUCCGUGGCUUCAGUAACCUGAGGUCAGCUGCAGUCUGAAUAUAUUACAUGCAGUAAGCUAUUUUGAGAGAGAGUUCACAUUCGCAUAGCUUUUAUUACAGUAUAUAAUUCUAAUUGUUGUUAAUCUCUUACUAGUUUAUAAAUUAAACUUUAUCAUAGGUAUGUAUGUAUAGGAAAAAGACAUAGUAUGUAUAGGUCUCAGUACUAUCAGAGGUUCAAGGCAUCUACUGGGAAUCUUGGAACGUAUACCCCACGGAUAAGGGGGCAUUGCUAUGUGUGCUUUUCCCUGAGACAUUUGUCUGACUUUGUUAUGCAGCAGAAGUAUUUAUGCAUGCCUCUCAUGUCAUUGCCCAAAAUAUUAAAGAGAUGUAUAUUCAAAUGUCAAGAUGUCAUAAAACUAAUCAUUUUUACUGUCCUGGCAGAAAACUUUUUUUUUUUUUUUUUUUUUGAGACACUCACUCUGUUGCCCAAGCUGGAGUGCAGUGGCACAAUCUCGGCUCACUGCAACCUCUGCCUUCCAGGUUCAAGUAAUUCUCCUGCCUCAGCUUCCUGAGUAGCUGGGAUACAGGCACGCGCCACCAUGGCCGGCUAAUUUUUGUGUUUUUAGUAGAGACAGGGUUUCACCAUAUUGGCCAGGCUGGUCUCGAACUCCUGACCUUGUGAUCUGCCCGCCUCAGCCUCCCAAAGUGCUGGGAUUACAGAUGUGAGCCACCACGCCCGGCCUAUGGCUGACCAUUCUUAAGUGAAACUGGCUUUUUUUUUUUUUUUUUGGAAACGAAGUCUCGCUCUGUCACCCAGGCUGGAGUGCAGUGGCGCAAUCUCAGCUCACUGCAGCCUUCACCUCCCAGUUCAAGCGAUUCUCCUGCCUCAGCCUCCCGAGUAGCUGGGAUUACAGAUGUGAACCACCGUGCCUGACUAAUUUUUGUAUUUUUUUUUUUUUUUUUUUGGUAGAGUUGGGGUUUCACCAUGUUGGUGAGGCAGGUCUCAAAUUCCUGACCUCAAGUGAUCCACCCACCUCAGCCUUCCAUAGUGCUGGGAUUACAGGCAUGGGAAUCCCAUGGGAUUACACCCAGCCCUUUUUUUUUUUUUUUUUUUUUAAAUCAAACGGCUACAGUUUGGUGCUGCCACCUCAAUUUGUUCUAAAGGCUAGCAGUUUACCCACCAUUGCUUGUGCAAAGGUCAACACGAUGAAAAAGACAAUGACUUAAAACGGUUUUGACUUUGCAGACCCCUUAGAAAAACUACUAUUAUUCUAAAACAGAAAUCAUGGGUCAGUGAUUCAGUAGUUGUUUGAGAACUGUUUUUAUUGCUCUGAAAAUGUCCGUUAAGUUGUUAGCCUUAUGGGGUCUUGAGCCAUGUUGAGGGUGGGUUAGUAUUCAGAGUAAGAUGAUUCAGCCCUGGCAUGGUGGGGAGGAGUUCAAGCUCUGGAAUGAGACUGGGGUUUUCUUGGGGAAGUCCUUUAACCUCAGUUUUUCUCAUCGCGAAAAUAAUCAUCAUAAUAAAAUCUGUCUCAUUUAUUUUAAGGUUCAACUAAGUAAAAAUAAAAUGCAGUUGUCCCUCACUAUCUGUGGGGAUCCCAGGACCCCCUCCUCAGAUGCUCAAGGUUCUGAUAUAAAAUGGUGUAGCAUUUGCAUUUAGCCUUGGGAAUCCUUCUGGAUACUUUAAAUCAUCUUAUGAUACUUGAUACAAUGUAAAUGGCUGUGUAACUAGUUGUUAGACUGUGUUGUUUAGGGAAUAAUGACAAGCAAAAAAGUCUGACACGUUCAACACAGACACAAUUUAAAACACACACACACACACACACACACACACACAAUUGGAGGUGAGUUCUGGCCAUGGAUUCAGAACCACAGAUCCAGAGGGCCGGCUGUACUCGACUCAGUAUGUCUGGUGUGUGUUUGUUCAGUAGCAUUGGCUGAACUGACCAUCACUUCCAGUUCCACCUGUGCACACUUCCCAGGCUGGUCAUACCAUGUUGUCGGCCGGUUUUGGAAGAGCAGAUUCCAUGUUUUAAACUGGAGUGCUCUCAGAAGAGCAGUCAUAAAGGUGAGGGGACUCAAAAGCACAUCACCUGAGGGAAAGGUAGAGCUGGAAGACAGAAGACUCGGGAAGAGCCGGGGUUGCGCUCUGGUGUUUGAAGGUCUGCUGAGGGAAAGGCUAAGGCAGCCUGAGGCAGACCUGAAGCCGCGCGCAGAAUUCCACAGAAGUUUACCUUCAUAUAACGAAGGACCUUUUGUGAUCUCCGGCCACAAGUGGGUUGAGCUGUUUCAUAAGGUAGUGAGCUCCCUGUUUCUAGAGGUUUUUCAGGCAAGUUUUUUUUUUUUUUUUUUUUGAGACGGAGUCUCGUUCUGUCGCCCAGGCUGGAGUGCAGUGGCUCCAUCUCAGCUCACUGCAAGCUCCGCCUCCCAGGUUCACGCCAUUCUCCUGCCUCAGCCUCCCGAGUAGUACCUGGGACUACAGGCGCCCGCCACCACACCUGGCUAAUUUUUUGUAUUUUUAGUAGAGACAGGGUUUCACCAUGUUAGCCAGGAUGGUCUCGAUCUCCUGACCUCGUGAUCUGCCUGCCUCGGCCUCCCAAAGUGCUGGGAUUACAGGUGUGAACCACCAUGCCCGGCCUUCAGGCAAGUUGUAAGAAACGACUUGUCAUCAACAUCAUAAAAUCUGUUGGUAGAGGUUGGAUUAAACUCCAGGGAGUUCCCUGGGAACCCCCUAGGAAAGGACUUGGGCAUUAUACAUAAGCAAAGUUGAGUAUUCUCUAACUUUGUUAUCUGAUGACUUUAAAAUAUGCACAGACUGGAAUUGCCCUGGUUUUUAUUGCUCUGAUGUUUGGGGUUACCUGUGAGCACAGAGUCCCAUGUUUGGGAGCGUGAGUAAGAACUAACUCUGGCCCACCUGGGCAGAGAGACUUGGUCCUGUCCUUUAGGUUGGGGCAGCAGGGAUUGGGCUCUGCAGGUGCUGAGUUUGCCCCAAACUAGCGAACAGGAGAUUGGAGAAGGAGGCUGGGCGUUGCAUAGGAAACAAGCUUUGUUUCCUGUGUUCCAUUAUUUUUUCGUCUCUAACUUCAAGUUUCUGAUCUUGUCUCUUCGGUAAGCAGCAAAUUAACAGGAGGUGGCACUGCUGUUCUGGAAAAAGAGCAGACGUGACAGUCCUGGGGCCAGCACCUCACUCCGGGAAAGGAGUGCCUGGUGGCUGAAGUGCUUCCUCCCCCUGUUUACCUUUGGCACCCGAACAUCCCUUUCGCCACUCUCCUUUGUCCAUUUUUACCUCGUUUGCUCUGGACGGUUUCCCUUGUUUAUUUUUUUCUCCACUCCUACAGUUCCUGUGGAUGAAGCUGUUUCCAUUCACUCACUGUCCCUGACACACCCUUCCUUUGAAAACAAACAUGGGGGUUGAGAGCCUGGAGCAAGAAAGAUGGAGCAGCCUAUUGCCAGCUGACUGGGAGGGACUGGGAUCGCCGGCCUCCCUGAGGUGCUGAUCUAGGAAAAGAUCUAGAUCUCACGCUCUGAUCUAGGAAAAGAAUCCUCCCAGCCCAGGAGUGUACAUCUGUGAAAACAAAAUUCCGUCUUCUGGGUCAAGGAGGUGGCAUCAGGUGGGGGUUGGGGGGAAUUGUUCUGGCAUUUUUUAAAAAGGCGUGUAUAACCCCAGUUAAGAGAAGACAUUUUUAAAAUUCUAAGAUCCCUAAAGUAGUACUAAAAUGUGGAGCUCACAAACAAUUUAGAGCCGGUCUGGUGGACUUGUGGUCCGAAGACCUGGGUUGUGCCCUGGCCUGGCUUCCCUCUGGCUGUGGAACCACAGGCCUGUAACUUAAGCUUCACUCGGCUCCAUUUGGGCAGUCAGGGCCGUGAGACCCCCUUUGCAAGGUGGUUGUGACUGCGGCGUGAGAGAAUGUACAUGAAGGUGCUUUUCGCAGUAUACAAUGCACUUGUUAGCAGUGCUUGGCCUUUUCAGUGUAACUAAGUCUGAUUAUACGCCCUUAUCCUGUAGGUUAGAAGGCGCCACGAUUUCUCGGCUCACUGCCCUUCAUGUCUCCAUAGUUUUUCACAGACCUCUGGAACAAAAAGAAAUGCCUAAUGGCUGAGUGUGGUAGCUCAAGCCUGUAAUCCCAGCACUUGGGGAUGCCCGAGGCAGGAGAAUUGCUUGAGCACAGGAGUUUGAGACCAGCCUGGGCAACAUGGUGAAACCCGUCUCUACAGAAACUACAAAAGUUAGCCAGGCAUGGUAGUGUGUGCCUGUAGUCCCAGGUACUUGGGAGGCUGAGAUGGGAGGAUCAUUUGAUCCUGGGAGGCAGAGGUUGCUGUGAGCCGAGAUCUGUACCACUGCACUCCAGCCUGGGCAGCAAACCAAGACCCUGUCUGAAAAAAAGAAGAAAAAAUGCCUAACGAAUGGUUCUGUUUCUUAUGUCAUUAGCUUCAGACACUAAGUAUUACUGUCCUCACAAUUCAGUAGCUGCUUAAAAAAAUAAUAUGUGUAAGUGUGUGUGGUAUGUGACAUGUGGAGUAAGGCUGUGUUUCCUGUAACAGUUUUGUUAAAUAUCCUGUGGCACCUUUGUGAGUUUGCUGGGUUACCCCAGGUAGUAGUCUGGGAACUGUGGCAGUAGAUUGUCUUAAGAGUUCCAGAGUGGGGGCCUUGACAAGUCCUCACUUAGCCUCCUCUGGAGGCCCAGCCGGGUGAGUGGUUCUCUGCCUCAGUGGCUAUUCAUACCCAUCCUGAAGAAGACCAGGUCUCCCAGUUGACGGGAGUUACUGACUCACAGUCUAGAUGAGGAUUUGUAUUGGGCAGAGCUGACUCGGUAAUUCCCUCACCCACUCUCCUCUCAACUCCUUCCCACUGUCCUUGCAUUACUCCUGAUCUUUUGAAGUACCAGAAUCAAAUAUCUGAAAACUGCCUAAGGGGCUAAUCUCCCAGGAAUUUGUUGUUGACUGCUGAUUAUAGGAAGAACUUUGAGGAGCCUGCCAGCAAUUGCAUGCAGGCAGCACUGCAGGUUGAAAUCUUAUAUUCUUUUUAUUGAACACAGACCCAGAACACGGGCAGCUUCUGCAGGAUUGCUGCAGAGCACAAGUGUUUCCCAUCUGGGCUCCUGGUAUAUUCGCUGCCCUUCCAAGACUCUGGGAUCUGAAAGGAAGAUGCUGUGGCUUUUCAUAAACAAGCAGCAAAGGGUUGCAUUCCUCCUGAUAUUGAAGGAUAUUUAGGAGGGUAUGUGAUGUGGUAUGAGAUAGGAGCCCCGAGUCCUUUUGCAGCAUUGCAAACAGGUUGUUUGUGUGCCUUUGUUGAUGCGCUGCUGGCGAGCCCUGACAACUGAGAAUUACUCUGCAGAACGAAAGAGCAAACUUGAGCUCUCAGAGCUUAAGCUUGGACUUUUUUUUUAAUGGACAGAGUUAUUUUUUUAUAAAAAUAUAAAAUGUUUUUAUAUUGUGUUUAUUUUUAUUUUUGUCAAAUUAUUGUAGCAAGAUUGAGUAUUUUGCAAAAGGAAAAAAAAUCACCUAAUCUCAUGAUGCUAACCAUACGACCAUUUUUUUUUUUUUGAGACGGAGUUUCACUCUUGUUGCCCAGGCUGGAGUGCAGUGGCGUGAUCUCAGCUCACUGCAGUCUCCACCUCCUUGGUUCAAGCGAUUCUCCUGCCUCAGCCUCUCGAGUAGCUGGGAUUACAGGUGUGCACCACCACACCCGGCUAAUUUUGUAUUUUUCAGUAGAGAUGGGGUUUCUCCAUGUUGGUCAGGCUGGUCUUGAACUCCUGACCUCAGGUGAUACACCUGCCUCGGCCUCCCAAAGUGCUGGGAUUACAAGCGUGAGCUGGGAUUACGGGUGCAAGCCACUGCACCCGGCCUCAUACAGCCAUUUUUAUUCUUCUUUUAUGUUUGCCUAUAAUAACAUAUGUUUUGCAUCCAGCUUUGUCUCUAUCUAUAUAUAAACAUUUUCAAUGUUGCUGUACUGUAUAAUUAUAAUAGCAAUAUGACACAAAUGAACAGUUAAAAACAAACACUGAAGAAUUGUAUGGCAUAUGAGGCUGGGCGCAGUGGCUCAUGCCUGUAAUCCCAGCACUUUG
rnacentral:lncRNA from 1 species